rnacentral:tRNA from 2 species
GUCGGGAUAGCCUAGCCCGGUAAGGCGCAGGAUUGCUAAUCCUGUGUUCGAUACGAACUCGGGGGUUCGAAUCCCCCUCCCGACG